UCGAGAGCUGAUGACGAGUCGUCUUUUAGAUGACGAAGUGGUUGAUGCCAUGCUUCCAAGAAAAGCUUCUAAGCUUCAGGUAACCAGGAACCGUACCCCAAACCGACACAGGUGGUCGGGUAGAGAAUACCAAGGCGCUUGAGAGAACUCGGGUGAAGGAACUAGGCAAAAUGGCACCGUAACUUCGGGAGAAGGUGCGCCGGCUAGGGUGAAGGAUUUACUCCGUAAGCUCUGGCUGGUCGAAGAUACCAGGCCGCUGCGACUGUUUAUUAAAAACACAGCACUCUGCAAACACGAAAGUGGACGUAUAGGGUGUGACGCCUACCCGGUGCCGGAAGGUUAAUUGAUGGGGUUAGCGCAAGCGAAGCUCUUGAUUGAAGCCCCGGUAAACGGCAGCCGUAACGAUAACGGUCCUAAGGUAGCGAAAUUCCUUGUCGGGUAAGUUCCGACCUGCACGAAUGGCGUAACGAUGGCGGCGCUGUCUCCACCCGAGACUCAGUGAAAUUGAAAUCGCUGUGAAGAUGCAGUGUAUCCGCGGCUAGACGGAAAGACCCCGUGAACCUUUACUGUAGCUUUGCACUGGACUUUGAGCCUGCUUGUGUAGGAUAGGUGGGAGGCUUUGAAGCGUGGACGCCAGUUCGCGUGGAGCCAUCCUUGAAAUACCACCCUGGCAUGCUUGAGGUUCUAACUCUGGUCCGUAAUCCGGAUCGAGGACAGUGUAUGGUGGGCAGUUUGACUGGGGCGGUCUCCUCCUAAAGAGUAACGGAGGGGUACGAAGGUGCGCUCAGACCGGUCGGAAAUCGGUCGCAGAGUAUAAAGGCAAAAGCGCGCUUGACUGCGAGACAGACACGUCGAGCAGGUACGAAAGUAGGUCUUAGUGAUCCGGUGGUUCUGUAUGGAAGGGCCAUCGCUCAACGGAUAAAAGGUACUCCGGGGAUAACAGGCUGAUACCGCCCAAGAGUUCAUAUCGACGGCGGUGUUUGGCACCUCGAUGUCGGCUCAUCACAUCCUGGGGCUGAAGCCGGUCCCAAGGGUAUGGCUGUUCGCCAUUUAAAGUGGUACGCGAGCUGGGUUUAGAACGUCGUGAGACAGUUCGGUCCCUAUCUGCCGUGGACGUUUGAGAUUUGAGAGGGGCUGCUCCUAGUACGAGAGGACCGGAGUGGACGAACCUCUGGUGUUCCGGUUGUCACGCCAGUGGCAUUGCCGGGUAGCUAUGUUCGGAAAAGAUAACCGCUGAAAGCAUCUAAGCGGGAAACUUGCCUCAAGAUGAGAUCUCACUGGGAACUUGAUUCCCCUGAAGGGCCGUCGAAGACUACGACGUUGAUAGACCGGGUGUGUAAGCGUUGUGAGGCGUUGAGCUAACCAGUACUAAUUGCCCGUGAGGCUUGAC
rnacentral:rRNA from 1 species